GCCUUCGUGGUGUAAUGGUCAGCAGCACACUGAGCCGGUAAUUCAGAGGUCCGCGGUUCGAUCCCUGGCGAAGGCA
rnacentral:tRNA from 1 species